rnacentral:miRNA from 1 species
AGAGGUCCGGAUCGAACGUAG